AAAAAUUUGAACAGGCCUCCUAACCUAUAGACAACAUAUCCAAAGCUCAACUGGUCUCUUGGUGUGAAGAGAUGAACUUCAUUGAACCACAAGCAACUAAACAAGUUACUCAGUGCGGUAUGUUCUCGUAUGAUAACAGCUCCUUCUGGAAUAUCACUAGGAGUACUUUUCUUUGGAUUCCAUGGUUCCAUUCCCUCGUAGCGAUAUAUCUUCAUAUGAAGAUCAAUCAACGGACGAGCAUAUCGUUUUCUCCUUUUGUUCGCAUCAGCCUCUUCAUACACAUUACGGUGAUGCUUGUGCUGAGCAAUUGCAAAUGUAUUCUUCUCACGCCACAAGUAUCUUUCAAGUAAUAGCAAUGGGUCAACUAUCAGCUCCAUUUUACCA
rnacentral:misc_RNA from 1 species